rnacentral:Y_RNA from 1 species
GGCUGGUCCAAGUGCAGUGGUAUCUAUAACAAAUUGGUCAUAACCAGUUAUAGAUUUCUUUGUUCCUUCUCCACUCCCACUGCUUCACUUGACUAUUAA